rnacentral:rRNA from 1 species
GAUGAACGCUAGCGGCAGGCCUAACACAUGCAAGUCGAGGGGGAGGUUACUUUCGGGUAACUGAGACCGGCGUACGGGUGCGUAACGCGUAUACAAUCUGCCUUUCACUGGGGGAUAGCCCGAAGAAAUUUGGAUUAAUACCCCAUAGUAUAGUAAUACGGCAUCGUGAUGCUAUUAAAGCUUAGGUGGUGAAAGAUGAGUAUGCGUUCUAUUAGCUAGUUGGGGAGGUAACGGCUCCUCAAGGCGAUGAUAGAUAGGGGUUCUGAGAGGGAUGUCCCCCACACUGGUACUGAGAUACGGACCAGACUCCUACGGGAGGCAGCAGUGAGGAAUAUUGGACAAUGGUCGGAAGACUGAUCCAGCCAUGCCGCGUGCAGGAUGAAGGUGUUAUGGAUUGUAAACUGCUUUUGUAAGGGAAGAAUAAGGGCUACGCGUAGUUUGAUGACGGUACCUGACGAAUAAGCAUCGGCUAACUCCGUG